rnacentral:rRNA from 1 species
ACUCAAAUGAAUUGACGGGGGCCCGCACAAGCAGCGGAGCGUGUGGUUUAAUUCGACGCAACGCGCACAACCUUACCCAGCUUGGACAUGGACCUGCAUGGGGGUGAAAGCUCCCAGCCUUCGAGGGUGGUCCACAGAUGCUGCAUGGCUGUCGUCAGCUCGUGUCGUGAGAUGUUGGGUUCAGUCCCGCAACGAGCGCAACCCUUACCGCCAGUUACUUGUGUCUGGCGGAACUGCCCUUCGGGGAGGAAGGCGGGGAUGACGUCAAGUCCGCAUGGCUCUGACAGCUGGGGCGACACACACGCUACAAUGCCGCCGGCAAUGCGUUGCCACGCAGUAAUGCGGCGCUAAUCGUCAAGCGGCGGCCCAGUGCAGAUCGGGGGCUGCAACUCGCCCCCGUGAAGGCGGAGUUGCUAGUAACCGCGUAUCAGCCAUGGCGCGGUGAAUCCGUACCCGGGCCUUGUACACACCGCCCGU